rnacentral:sRNA from 1 species
AUCUACCACUGCUAAUCUAUACCACUGUCAAUCUAUCUACCACUGUCAAUCUAUCUAUUGCUGCUAAUCUAUCUAUCACUGCUAAUCUAUCACUGCUAAUCUAUCACUGCUAAUCUAUUGCUGCUAAUUUAUCUAUCACUGCUAAUCUAUCACUGUCAAUCUAUCUAUCACUGUCAAUCUAUCUACCACUGCCAAUCUAUCUACCACUGUCAAUCUAUCUACCACUGCCAAUCUAUCUACUACUGCUAAUCUAUCACUGCUAAUCUAUCACUGCUAAUCUAUUGCUGCUAAUCUAUCACUGCUAAUCUAUUGCUGCUAAUCUAUCUAUCACUGCUAAUCUAUCACUGCCAAUCUAUCUAUCACUGCCAAUCUAUCUACCACUGUCAAUCUAUCUAUCACUGCCAAUCUAUCUACCACUGCUAAUCUAUCACUGCUAAUCUAUCACUGCCAAUCUAUAUAGAGUAAAUCAUGAUCCCAUUUGAUUCCAUUUUGUAAAAUGGAAUCAAAUGAAACUGAGACCACUAAUUUAUUAAUAAAACAUGAUCUGAAACUAGAUUUAUAAUAUAAACAGUGUAAAGUAACUAAUUUACUAAACACUAUAUGAGAUCAGAACUAAGAUAUCUAAUAAUGGAACUGAGGAAAAAUUUGAUUCCAGUUCCAUGCAUGGUCACACAGUC